GAUGAACGCUAGCGGCAGGCUUAACACAUGCAAGUCGAGGGGUAGAAGGAGCUUGCUCCUUUGAGACCGGCGCACGGGUGCGUAACGCGUAUGCCACCUACCUUGAACAGGGGAAUAGCCCAGAGAAAUUUGGAUUAAUGCCCCAUGGUAUCUGACAGUGGCAUCACUUUCUUAUUAAAGUAACAACGGUUCAAGCUGGGCAUGCUUCCCAUUAGUUAGUUGGUAAGGUAACGGCUUACCAAGACGAUGAUGGGUAGGGGUCCUGAGAGGGGGAUCCCCCACACUGGUACUGGGACACGGACCAGACUCCUACGGGAGGCAGCAGUGAGGAAUAUUGGUCAAUGGGCGCAAGCCUGAACCAGCCAUGCCGCGUGCAGGAUUAAGGCCCUAUGGGUUGUAAACUGCUUUUGUACGGGAAGAAACACUCCCUCGUGAGGGAGCUUGACGGUACCGUAAGAAUAAGGAUCGGCUAACUCCGUGCCAGCAGCCGCAGUAA
rnacentral:rRNA from 1 species